CGUCGAACGUAAGAUGACUGUAGGUGAAAGCUUACAUCUCUUCGGAGCAUUUUACGAGGUGCUGCAUGGUUGUCGUCAGCUCGUGCCGUGAGGUGUCGGGUUAAGUCCCAUAACGAGCGCAACCCCUACCUUUAGUUGCCAUCAGGUUAAGCUGGGGACUCUAAAGGAACUGCCUACGCAAGUAGUGAGGAAGCGGGGAUGACGUCAAAUCAGCACGGCCCUUACGUCCAGGGCUACACACGUGCUACAAUGGCCGAUACAGAGGGCAGCUACCUGGUGACAGGAUGCAAAUCUCCAAAGUCGGUCUCAGUUCGGAUCGGAGUCUGCAACCCGACUCCGUGAAGGUUGGAUUCGCUAGUAAUCGCGCAUCAGCCAUGGCGCGGUGAAUACGUUCCCGGGCCUU
rnacentral:rRNA from 1 species